UACGGAGGUGGCAAGCGUUGUUCGGAAUUACUGGGCGUAAAGGGCGCGUAGGCGGCCUGCUAAGUCGAACGUGAAAUCCCUGGGCUCAACCCAGGAACUGCGUCCGAUACUGGUUGGCUUGAAUCCGGGAGAGGGAUGUGGAAUUCCAGGUGUAGCGGUGAAAUGCGUAGAUAUCUGGAGGAGCAUCGGUGGCGAAGGCGGCAUCCUGGACCGGUAUUGACGCUGAGGCGCGAAAGCCAGGGGAGCAAACGGG
rnacentral:rRNA from 1 species